rnacentral:rRNA from 1 species
AUAGCGGCAAACGGGUGAGUAACACGUAAAUAAUCUUCCCUAAAGUCAGGCAUAGUAUCGUGAAAACGGUAGUAAUUCCUGAUAUGGUCUUAGUAUCGCAUGGUAUUAAGAUUAAAGGUGGGGACCUCUUCGGGGGCCUACCACUUUGGGAUGAGUUUGCGGCCUAUCAGCUUGUUGGUGGGGUAACGGCCUACCAAGGCGUAUGACGGGUAGCUGGUCUGAGAGGAUGGUCAGCCACACUGGGACUGAGACACUGCCCAGACUCCUACGGGAGGCUGCGGUCGAGAAUCUUUAGCAAUGGACGAAAGUCUGACUAUGCGACGCCGCGUGCAGGACGAAGGCCUUCGGGUUGUAAACUGCUUUUGUUAGGAAAGAAACCUUAAACUCUAACAUAGUUUAAGCUGACGGUACCUAGCGAAUAAGCCACGGCCAACUCCGUGCCAGCAGCCGCGGUAAUACGGAGGUGGCAAGCGUUACUCGGAAUUAUUGGGUGUAAAGGGUAGGUAGGCGGUCUUGUAAGUGAGGGGUGAAAUCUUCCGGCUCAAUCGGAAAACUGCCUUUCAAACUGCUUGACUUGAGAUCGGAAGGGGGAAACGGAAUUAGCAGUGUAAGGGUGA